AUUGAACGCUGGCGGCAGGCCUAACACAUGCAAGUCGAACGAGUGGCGGACGGGUGAGUCAUGUCUGGGACCCUGCCUUAUGGAGGGGGAUAACUACUGGAAACGGUAGCUAAUACCGCAUACCAUCGGAUGUGCCCAGAUGGGAUUAGCUUGUUGGUGGGGUAACGGCUCACCAAGGCGACGAUCCCUAGCUGGUCUGAGAGGUUGACCGGCCACACUGGAACUGAGACACGGUCCAGACUCCUACGGGAGGCAGCAGUGGGGAAUAUUGCACAAUGGGCGCAAGCCUGAUGCAGCCAUGCCGCGUGUAUGAAGAAGGCCUUCGGGUUGUAAAGUACUUUCAGCGGGGAGGCGUUACCCGCAGAAGAAGCACCGGCUAACUCCGUGCCAGCAGCCGCGGUAAUAC
rnacentral:rRNA from 1 species